UUAGCGUGUUAAAUCCACUCAAUUUAUUAAAAUAUUUUCUAAUGUCUAUUACAAUAAUGUUUCUUAAUUAGCUAACAUAAGAGGAGUUUUAAGACAUUUAUUUAUAUGUACUUACUAGAUUCAAACUCGAUUCCACUAUUUUCAGAAAUCAUGCUCUGAGACAAGUCCUUUUUUUACUAUGUUUCUGCCUAUAUUAAAAGACAGAUAUGUCCAUUUUGCUAAUCAUGCUGUUCCAAACCUCUCCAUCCUAUUUUUCGGUUUGUUCUAGCAGUCAUUCAGAGACUUACUUAUAUUCAAAUUUCUCUCUAGGUUUAACAUUUGUGUAUGUCUUCUUGUGGUUUUGUCUAUUUUUGCUGUAUAUAAGACAUUUAUUGACAUAUAUCAUACAUGCAGAAAAGUACAAUGAUUAAAUAUGGAUAGCUUCAUUAAUGAAACACAUGUAUUUGCUUAUAACCAUGUAUGAAAAUAGAACAUUACUAAAAAUAGUGAUACUUCUCCUGCCCCUUUCCAAACACUAACCCUCAUCCUCAAUAGCAACAGAUUUUUUUUUAUCAUAGAGUAAUUUGGUCUAUUUUCAAAUUUUUAUUAAAUAAAUCAGAGUAUCUACUCUAAGUCUAUGUUUCUCUCAUUGUUGCUAUUUUGCUUAUAGUAUUUAUCUGCUAAUGGACAUGGUAGAUUAAAGACGGCUACAUACACAUUUUUUAAUUAAUAGAUUUUUUGAGCACUUUGUGGCUCAUGCCUCUAAUCCCAUCACUUUGGGAGGCUGAGGUGCGUGGAUCAUGAGGUCAGGAGAUCCAGACAAUCCUGGCCAAUGUGGUAAAACCCCUUCUCUACUAAACUACAAAAAAUUAGCUGAUAGAUAACAUCAAGAUAACAUCUGGGUUCUUAGCUGCACUGAGUCAAGCCAACUUACAUCUUUGUUUGUCUUCCUCUGCACUUUUCCUUCCACAUCACACUCCAGGAAUGCCAAGCUGUUCUGGCCUUCUACCCCAUUUCCACUACUUUGCCCCCGCCGACGCGGCUUUUUGCCGCCAUGGAUUUUUGCCCCCGCUGCUGCGGGUUUUGCUUUCUGCCCCCGGCCUCGCGGAAUUUAGCCCCUGCUGCCGCGGCUUUUUGGGGAUCUUUGCCCUCGCAGCCGCGGCUUUUUGCCGCCGCAGCUUUUUGCGUCUUUCUCCCCCCACCGCCGCGGCUUUUUCCCCCGUCACCGCGACUUUUUCCGCUGCGGCUUUUU
rnacentral:lncRNA from 1 species